GUGCCAGCAGCCGCGGUAAUACAGAGGUCUCAAGCGUUGUUCGGAAUCACUGGGCGUAAAGGGUGCGUAGGCUGCGCCGUAAGUCAGAUGUGAAAGCUCAGGGCUCAACCCUGAAAUUGCAUCCGAUACUGCGGUGCUUGAGAAAUGAAGGGGAGUCUAGAAUUUUCGGUGUAGCAGUGAAAUGCGUAGAUAUCGAAAGGAAUACCAAAGGCGAAGGCAGGACUCUGGGCAUUUUCUGACGCUGAUGCACGAAGGCCAGGGUAGCGAACGGGAUUAGAAACCCCCGUAGUCC
rnacentral:rRNA from 1 species